UCGGGAAUUUUGGGCAAUGGGCGAAAGCCUGACCCAGCAACGCCGCGUGAGGGAUGAAGUAUUUCGGUAUGUAAACCUCGAAAGAAUGGGAAGAAUAAAUGACGGUACCAUUUAUAAGCUCCGGCUAACUACGUGCCAGCAGCCGCGGUAAUACGUAGGGAGCAAGCGUUGUUCGGAUUUACUGGGCGUAAAGGGCGCGUAGGCGGCGCGGUAAGUCACUUGUGAAAUCUCUGAGCUUAACUCAGAACGGCCAAGUGAUACUGCUGUGCUAGAGUGCGGAAGAGGCAACCGGAAUUCUUGGUGUAGCGGUGAAGUGCGUAGAUAUCAAGAGGAACACCUGAGGCGAAGGCGGGUUGCUGGGCCGACACUGACGCUGAUGCGCGAAAGCCAGGGGAGCAAACG
rnacentral:rRNA from 1 species